rnacentral:tRNA from 1 species
UUGUUAGAAGCCAAAAAGAGGCUUAUCAUUGUUAAUGAUAUUAUUGAAAUAUAUUUCCUAACAAG